rnacentral:rRNA from 1 species
AACGUAGGUGGCAAGCGUUAUCCGGAAUUACUGGGCGUAAAGGGUGUGCAGGCGGGGUGGCAAGUGGGGGAUGAAAUAUCCCAGCUUAACUGGGAGGGGUUAUGCCAGACUGCUACUCUAGAGGACGAGAGAGGGGCGUGGAAUUCCGGGUGUAGUGGUGAAAUGCGUAGAGAUCCGGAGGAACCCCAGAGGCGAAGGCGACGCCCUGGCUCGUACCUGACGCUCAGCCACGAAAGCAUGGGGAGCGAACGGG